UAAGUUAUGGCGCGUGCACAGCCUACGUGACCACGUACUGCACCGCCGCACCACAGGUUAAGCUAACGCUGCUGUCGGGAAAUGUAUUAGCAAAGUUAAUAAUGAGUGAACAACCUGUGUCAGGAGACAAAACUCAGACACCGCCAAAGUCGCAAUUUAUGCCGUCACUAGACGCAUCUCACCCGCACUCGCAUGGAGGCAUUUUGGCUUUGAGUAGACGGAUGUUGUUCAAAUGACGGACUGAAAAACUAUGUCGGAAAUCGACUACUGUUAAAGAUAACUCGGCAGCAUCUGCAAACUAAACACCGCACGGAAUAUGAAACAAAUGAAAAGCUUCAGGAGCCGUGCACGACAGGACUAAACCAGCCAAGGUGAAAUGUUUGUCCUCCGAAAAACGCGCAGAGGAGUCUGAGAGGAGAAGCCCAGGGCACAAUGAAGUCCAAAUGGAAGCAGCUGGUGGCCUGAGAAGCAGCAGAGAUUAAUGUGUGAUGCUGGCAACACCAACUGUGCAUGAGAAAGAGUGAUUGCCGUCUGAACCACAACAACAGAAUUGAAUUAGCCAUAUCAAUCACACAUUGUGGUAUGUGAGUGUUUGUGUGUCUGAGAAAGGGAGACUGAGAUAAAGCAGGCGUUUGUUUGCUGGUUCAGGUCAGCCCUGUAUCUUUCAUUAUGUGGGGUUUGAACAUUGCAUAUUUAAUGAUUCCUUUUACCUAGAAACUGUUUUAACACAGACAGGCUGACAUGCACCGUGUGACUAAUUAAAUGAAUAUUUCCCAUGUUGCAGAGGGAGAUUCAUAUUUAUGUACUGUAUGAUAAUUAGCUGAUAGCAUUUAGACUCUGGGCCAAAUGAAAAAGCAAACUCAGGAUUUCACCUUGGACUCUGGGGGGAAAACAAAACAAAACCUUGGACUCUGGAAUAUAAAUAUGAGCAUUUCUAACAGUUUUCUGACAUUUUAGCCAAAGAAAGAAUUAAUGAAUCAAGAAAGAAACGUGCCAGAUUAAUUGAUAAUGGAUAUAACUUUUAGUUGCAGUGCAAGUUGACUUUUGAAAGAAGCCAAA